rnacentral:rRNA from 1 species
GAUGAACGCUGGCGGCGUGCCUAAUACAUGCAAGUCGAGCGAACGGACGAGAAGCUUGCUUCUCUGAUGUUAGCGGCGGACGGGUGAGUAACACGUGGAUAACCUACCUAUAAGACUGGGAUAACUUCGAGAAACCGGAGCUAAUACCGGAUAAUAUUUUGAACCGCAUGGUUCAAAAGUGAAAGACGGUCUUGCUGUCACUUAUAGAUAGAUCCGCGCUGCAUUAGCUAGUUGGUAAGGUAACGGCUUACCAAGGCAACGAUGCAUAGCCGACCUGAGAGGGUGAUAGGCCACACGAGAACGUAGACACGGACCAGGCUCCUACGGGAGGCAGCAGUAGCGAAUCUGCCGCAAUGGGCGAAAGCCUGACGGAGCAACGCCGCGUGAGUGAUGAAGGUCUUCGGAGCGUAAAACUCUGUUAUUAGGUAAGAACAUAUGUGUAAGUAACUGUGCACAUCGUGACGGUACCUAAUCAGAAAGCCACGGCUAACUACGUG